GGACUAGGGGGGCGUGCUUACACAUGCAGUCCAACGAUGAACCGCUUUCGGGCGGGGAUUAGUGGCGAACGGGUGAGUACACGUGGGCAAUCAGCCCUGCACUCUGGGACAAGCCCUGGAAACGGGGUCUAAUACCGGAUAUGACCGUCUGCCGCAUGGUGGAUGGUGUAAAGCUCCGGCGGUGCAGGAUGAGCCCGCGGCCUAUCAGCUUGUUGGUGAGGUAGUGGCUCACCAAUGCGACGACGGGUAUCCGGCCUGAGAGGGCGACCGGCCACACUGGGACUGAGACACGGCCCAGACUCCUACGGGAGGCAGCAGUGGGGAAUAUUGCACAAUGGGCGAAAGCCUGAUGCAGCGACGCGCGUGAGGGAUGACGCCUUCGGGUUGUAAACCUCUUUCAGCAGGGAAGAAGCGAAAGUGACGGUACCUGCAGAAGAAGCGCCGGCUAACUACGUGCCAGCAGUCGCGGUAAUACGUAGGGCGCAAGCGUUGUCCGGAAUUAUUGGGCGUAAAGAGCUCGUAGGCCGCUUGUCACGUCGGUUGUGAAAGCCCGGGGCUUAACCCCGGGUCUGCAGUCGAUACGGGCAGCUAGAGUUCGGUAGGGGAGAUCGGAAUUCCUGGUGUAGCGGUGAAAUGCGCAGAAUCAGGAGGAACACCGGUGGCGAAGGCGGAUCGCUGGGCCGAUACUGACGCUGAGGAGCGAAAGCGUGGGGAGCGAACAGGAUUAAUACCCUGGUAGUCGACGCCGUAAACGGUGGGCACUAGGUGUGGGCAACAUUCCACGUUGUCCGUGCCGCAGCUAACGCAUUAAGUGCCCCGCCUGGGGAGUACGGCCGCAAGGCUAAAACUCAAAGGAAUUGACGGGGGCCCGCACAAGGGCGGAGCAUGUGGCUUAAUUCGACGCAACGCGAAGAACCUUACCAAGGCUUGACAUACACCGGAAACGUCUGGAGACAGGCGCCCCCUUGUGGUCGGUGUACAGGUGGUGCAUGGCUGUCGUCUGCUCGUGCGUGAGAUGUUGGGUUUAGUCCCGCAACGAGCGCAACCCUUGUCCCGUGUUGCCAGCAGGCCCUUGUGGUGCUGGGGACUCACGGGAGACCGCCGGGGUCAACUCGGAGAAGGUGGGGACGACGUCAAGUCAUCUGCCCCUUAUGUCUUGGGUUGCACACGUGCUACAAUGGCCGGUACAAUGAGCUGCGAUACGUGAGGUGGAGCGAAUCUCAAAAGCCGGUCUCAGUUCGGAUUGGGGUCUGCAACUCGACCCCAUGAGUCGGAGUCGCUAGUAAUCGCAGAUCAGCAUUGCUGCGGUGAAUACGUUCCCGGGCCUUGUACACACCGCCGUCACGUCACGAAGUCGGUAACACCCGAAGCCGGUGGCCCAACCCCCUU
rnacentral:rRNA from 1 species